rnacentral:rRNA from 1 species
GGGGCACACGGGGCGCAACCCCGGCGGCGACGGCGCACGGGUGAGUAAACGUACGCAACCUGCCCACACAGGGGGAAGCCCGUCGAGGGACGGAUAAACCGCAUAUAACCGACGAGACACCUGUCUCGUCAGUGAGGAUCAUUCGGUUAUGGACGGGCACGCGUUCCAUUAGUUAGUGGCGGGGUAACGGCUCACCAAGACAACGAUGGAUAGGGGAACUGAGAGGUUAUCCCCCACACUGGUACUGAGAUACGGACCAGACUCCUACGGGAGGCAGCAGUGAGGAAUAUUGGUCAAUGGGCGAGAGCCUGAACCAGCCAAGUCGCGUGAAGGAUGACGGUAUUAUGUAUUGUAAACUUCUUUUACAGGGGAUUAAAGAGUGUCAUGCGUGGCAUAUUGCAGGUACCCUGUGAAUAAGCAUCGGCUAACUCCGUGCCAGCAGCCGCGGUAAUACGGAGGAUGCGAGCGUUAUUCGGAUUUAUUGGGUUUAAAGGGUGCGUAGGCUGGCAUAUAAGUCAGCGGUGAAAUCCCUGUGCUUAACACAGGGUCUGCCGUUGAAACUGUGUGUCUAGAGUGUGAACGAGGUAGGCGGAAAUUCGUGGUGUAGCGGUGAAAUGCAUAGAUAUCACGAAGAACUCCGAUAGCGCAGGCGAGCUUACCAGGCCACAACUGACGCUGAGGCACGAAAGUGUGGGUAUCAAACAGGAUUAGAUACCCUGGUAGUCCACACAGUAAACGAUGAAUACUAACUGUUUGCGAUAUACGGUAAGCGGUACAGCGGGGCGUUGGUUUCCACCUGGG